CCAAUAGCGUAUAUUAAAGUUGUUGCAGUUAAAAAGCUCGUAGUUGAAUUUCGGGAUCAUCAGGUUGGUCGUGCCUCGGGUAUGUACUUUCCUCGAUGGUUCCUCCUUCUUGAAGAUCCGUAAUGUCAUUAAUUUGGUGUUGCGGGGAAUCAGGACUGUUACUUUGAAAAAAUUAGAGUGUUUAAAGCAGGCAAUCGCUUGAAUACAUUAGCAUGGAAUAAUGAAAUAGGACGUUCGAUCCUAUUUUGUUGGUUUCUAGGAUUGACGUAAUGAUUAAUAGGGAUAGUUGGGGGCAUUAGUAUUCAAUUGUCAGAGGUGAAAUUCUUGGAUUUAUUGAAGACUAACUACUGCGAAAGCAUUUGCCAAGGAUGUUUUCAUUAAUCAAGAACGAAAGUUAGGGGAUCGAAGACGAUCAGAUACCGUCGUAGUCUUAACCAUAAACUAUACCGACUAGGGAUCGGAUGAUGUUAAUUUUUUAAUGACUCAUUCGGCGCCUUACG
rnacentral:rRNA from 1 species